rnacentral:rRNA from 1 species
UAGUUGUGGGGUCCAUUCCACGGAUUCCGUGACGCAGCUAACGCAUUAAGUUCCCCGCGUGGGGAGUACGGCCGCAAGGCUAAAACUCAAAGGAAUUGACGGGGACCCGCACAAGCGGCGGAGCAUGCGGAUUAAUUCGAUGCAACGCGAAGAACCUUACCAAGGCUUGACAUAUAGAGGAAACGUCUGGAAACAGUCGCCCCGCAAGGUCUCUAUACAGGUGGUGCAUGGUUGUCGUCAGCUCGUGUCGUGAGAUGUUGGGUUAAGUCCCGCAACGAGCGCAACCCUCGUUCUAUGUUGCCAGCACGUAAUGGUGGGAACUCAUGGGAUACUGCCGGGGUCAACUCGGAGGAAGGUGGGGAUGACGUCAAAUCAUCAUGCCCCUUAUGUCUUGGGCUUCACGCAUGCUACAAUGGCCGGUACAAAGGGCUGCAAUACCGUGAGGUGGAGCGAAUCCCAAAAAGCCGGUCCCAGUUCGGAUUGAGGU